rnacentral:rRNA from 1 species
UCGCCUGUUUAUCAAAAACAUGUCCUCUUGAUUAUAAUAUGGGGUCUGACCUGCCCACUGAAUUUUACAUUUAAAGGGCCGCGGUAUUUUGACCGUGCAAAGGUAGCAUAAUCAUUAGUCUUUUAAUUGAAGGCUGGAAUGAAUGGUUGGACGAGGUAUUGACUGUCUCAGUGUGAUUGAAAUUAGAAUUUAACUUUUGAGUCAAAAGGCUUAAAUAUUUUUAAAGGACGAGAAGACCCUAUAGAGCUUGAUAUUUAAAGAUUAUUACUUAUUUAGAAAAAGGUAUUUUUAUAGUAAUCGGUGAAGUAUUUUGUUGGGGUGACAGGAAGAUAAAAGAAACUCUUUUUUAUCAUUAAACAUUGAUGUAUGAAUUUUUGAUCCAUUAUUAGUGAUUAUAAGACUAAGUUACCUUAGGGAUAACAGCGUAAUCUUUUUCGAGAGUUCUUAUCGACAAAAAGGGUUGCGACCUCGAUGUUGGAUUAAGGGUAAUUUUGGGUGUAGAUGUUCAAAGUUUAGGUCUGUUCGACCUUUAAAUCCUUACAUGAUCUGAGUUCAAACCGGAGA